UGGACAUCUACUUUAUUCAGUUUCUUCUUAAAGUGAAGAAAACUCUUGUAAAUGUACUAGAGAAAUAUAGCUUUCUGUUCACCCUUUGCAAAAGUAAAAAGGGUGGAUCGUUCUACUACUGACAUGU